CUCCGGUUAGCUCAGUUGGUAGAGCGCUCCACUGGAAAUCGGGAAGUCCCGGGUGCGAUACCCGGACCAGACG
rnacentral:tRNA from 1 species